UCCCNCCAGAAGGAAAUCAAACAGGCCUG
rnacentral:piRNA from 1 species